GCCAAUAUGGUUUAGUGGUUUAAGCAUUGUACUACAACUCAAGGUCCAGGGUUCAAAUCCCUGUUCAACCA